rnacentral:rRNA from 1 species
UACAGGGGGUGCAAACGUUGCUCGGAAUCAUUGGGCGUAAAGCGCACGUAGGCGGUUCGUUAUGUCGGAUGUGAAAGCCCUUGGCUUAACCGAGGAAGUGCAUCCGAAACUGGCGAGCUAGAGUACGAAAGAGGAUCGCGGAAUUCCCGGUGUAGAGGUGAAAUUCGUAGAUAUCGGGAGGAACACCGGUGGCGAAGGCGGCGAUCUGGGUCGAUACUGACGCUGAGGUGCGAAGGCGUGGGGAGCAAACAGG